UACGGAGGGGGCUAGCGUUGUUCGGAAUUACUGGGCGUAAAGAGCUCGUAGGCGGUCUGUCGCGUCUGCUGUGAAAUCCCGAGGCUCAACCUCGGGCUUGCAGUGGGUACGGGCAGGCUAGAGUGCGGUAGGGGAGAAUGGAACUCCUGGUGUAGCGGUGGAAUGCGCAGAUAUCAGGAAGAACACCGAUGGCGAAGGCAGUUCUCUGGGCCGUAACUGACGCUGAGGAGCGAAAGCGUGGGGAGCGAACAGG
rnacentral:rRNA from 1 species